rnacentral:rRNA from 1 species
UACGAAGGGGGCUAGCGUUGUUCGGAAUUACUGGGCGUAAAGCGUAUGCAGGCGGAUCGUUAAGUCGGGGGUGAAAUCCCGAGGCUCAACCUCGGAACUGCCUUCGAUACUGGCGAUCUUGAGUCCGGGAGAGGUGAGUGGAACUCCGAGUGUAGAGGUGAAAUUCGUAGAUAUUCGGAAGAACGCCAGUGGCGAAGGCGGCUCACUGGCCCGGUACUGACGCUGAGAUACGAAAGCGUGGGGAGCAAACGGG